rnacentral:precursor_RNA from 11 species
CCAUCCAGGUCCAGAAGGAACCUUUGCUCCUGAUUGUCCAAACGCAAUUCUUGUCCAGAAAACAUGCAAACCAAGAAUUGUGUCUGGACAUCUGUGGCCAAGUCUUCAAGCGCGGCAAGAGAGGC